rnacentral:rRNA from 1 species
UCAGGCCUAACACAUGCAAGUCGAACGCAGUAGCAAUACUGAGUGGCAGACGGGUGAGUAUAAUGUGGGAAUCUGCCUUUUGGUUUGGAAUAACACGGGGAAACUUGUGCUAAUACCGAAUAAGCCCUUACGGGGAAAGUUUUAACGCCGAAAGAUGAGCCUGCACUUGAUUAGCUAGUUGGUAAGGUAAAAGCUUACCAAGGCGACGAUCAAUAGCUGUUCUUAGAGGAAGACCAGCCACAUUGGGACUGAGACACGGCCCAGACUCCUACGGGAGGCAGCAGUGGGGAAUCUUGCACAAUGGGGGAAACCCUGAUGCAGCGAUGCCGCGUGAGUGAAGAAGGCCCUUGGGUUGUAAAACUCUUUCGUCGGGGAAGAAAAUGACUGUACCCGAAUAAGAAGGUCCGGCUAACUUCGUGCCAGCAGCCGCGGUAAUACGAAGGGACCUAGCGUAGUUCGGAAUUACUGGGCUUAAAGAGCUCGUAGGUGGUUAAAAAAGUUGAUGGUGAAAUCCCAAGGCUCAACCUUGGAACUGCCAUCAAAACUUUUUAGCUAGAGUGUGAUAGAGGUAAGUGGAAUUUCUAGUGUAGAGGUGAAAUUCGUAGAUAUUAGAAAGAACACCAAAUGCGAAGGCAACUUACUGGGUCACUACUGACACUGAGGAGCGAAAGCAUGGGUAGCGAAGAGGAUUAGAUACCCU